rnacentral:rRNA from 1 species
GAUGAACGCUGACAGAAUGCUUAACACAUGCAAGUCUUUGGUGAAGCUGUGCUUGCACAGCCUAGCCAAGGCGGACGGGUGAGUAACGCGUAAGGAACUUGCCCUGCAGUCAGGGAUAACAGACGGAAACGACUGAUAAGACCUGGUGAAGUCAGGCGGACUCAUGUCCAGCCUGAUGAAAAGAGAUGCUGCAGGAGAGCCUUGCGUCCUAUUAGCUUGUUGGUGGGGUAACGGCCCACCAAGGCAAUGAUAGGUAGCCGGCCUGAGAGGGUGGACGGCCACAAGGGGACUGAGAUACGGCCCUUACUCCUACGGGAGGCAGCAGUGGGGAAUAUUGGACAAUGGGGGCAACCCUGAUCCAGCAAUUCUGUGUGCACGAUGAAGGUUUUCGGAUUGUAAAGUGCUUUCAGCAGGGAAGAAAAAAAUGACGGUACCUGCAGAAGAAGCGACGGCUAAAUACGUG